UGAACCCACAAACCACGAGAUCGUGACCUGAGCCAAAGUGGGACGCUCAACUGACUGAGCCACCCAGGCACAGAAGGCUUUUUAAAGCUCCACUGGCAUCCAGACUCAGCUCUGAGAAUCUCGCCUCCAACUUCCCAGGCAGAAAUACACAUUUCCUCUGUGUUGCCACCGAUCUGGUCGAUACAUCACAUUUCGUCCUCGCAGCCCUAGCUGAUCCGGUUUUUAGACUCAAACCCACUGCUUGGCAUGAAGGACCAUGACCAUUGGCACCACAAACCCCAUCAGGGACGUGAAUUCUUGG